CCCUGGGAUUCCCAGGAGUUUCCACUUGGUGAUCAGCACUGAACACGGACCACCAACCAUGGAGUGUGUGCUGAGCUGGGUUUUCCUUGUUACAGUUUUGAAAGGUGUCCAGAGUGAGGUGCAGCUGGUGGAGUCUGGGGGAGGCUUGGUCCAGCCUGGGGGGUCCCUGAGACUCUCCUGUGCGGCCUCUGGAUUCACCUUCAGUAGCUACUACAUGCACUGGGUCUGCCAGGCUCCAGGGAAGGGGCUGGAGCGAGUGGGUUUUAUUAGAAACAAAGCCAAUGGUGGGACAGCAGAAUACGCCGCGUCUGUGAAAGGCCGAUUCACCAUCUCAAGAGAUGAUUCAAAGAACUCACUGUAUCUGGAGAUGAGCAGCCUGAAAACCGAGGACACGGCCGUGUGUUACUGUGCGAGUGACACAGUGAGGGGAGGCCCGUCUGAGCCCGGACACAAACCUCCUGCGGGGGCGCGGGGCCACUGA